rnacentral:rRNA from 1 species
AGUGAACGCUGGCGGCGUGCCUAACACAUGCAAGUCGAACGUGAAAAUGGAAACCUGGGUAAAGUGGCGUACGGGUGGGUCACGCGUAGGACAUCUACACCAGAAUCUGGAAUAACCUGGCGAACGGCGGGCUAACACUGGAUAUAGCGAGGGAACUCGUAAGAGAGUUUUUCGGGUAAGGGAGCCCGCAUGUGCCUUCGUUCUGGGAUGAGCCCGCGUCUCAUUAGCUAGUUGGUAAGGUAACGGCUUACCAAGGCGAAGAUGAGUAGCUGCUCUGAGAGGGUGAGCAGGCACACUGGGAAUGUAACACGGUCCCCAGUCCUCCAGGAGGGAGCAGUGGGGAAACUCGCGCAAUGGGGGAGAGUCUGACGCAGAGAAGCCGCGCGAGAGUAGAAGGGGUCCGGGGUGUGAAGCUCUGUCGGAUGGGACGAAAAUCAUCAUAGUGAAUAGCUAUGAGGACUGACGGUAACAUCAAAAGAAGCACCGGCUAACUCCGUG